rnacentral:tRNA from 2 species
GGCGCUGUGGCUUAGUUGGCUAAAGCGCCUGUCUCGUAAACAGGAGAUCCUGGGUCCAAAUCCCAGCAGUGCCU